rnacentral:rRNA from 1 species
UCGCAAGAGGAGCCUGGAGACAGGUGCUGCAUGGCUGUCGUCAGCUCGUGUCGUGAGGUGUUGGGUUAAGUCCCGCAACGAGCGCAACCCUAUCUUUAGUUGCCAUCAUUUGAGUUGGGCACUCUAAAGAGACUGCCGGUGUCAAACCGGAGGAAGGUGGGGGAUGACGUCAAGUCCUCAUGGCCUUAUGACCAGGGCUACACACGUACUACAAUGGCCGGUACAAAGGGCAGCGACACAGCGAUGUGAAGCGAAUCCCGAAAAGCCGGUCUCAGUCCGGAUUGGAGUCUGCAACUCGACUCCAUGAAGUUGGAAUCGCUAGUAAUCGCGGAUCAGCACGCCGCGGUCGAAUACGUUCCCGGGCCUU